UACAGAGGGUGCGAGCGUUAAUCGGAAUUACUGGGCGUAAAGCGUGCGUAGGUGGUUCGUUAAGUCUGUCGUGAAAGCCCCGGGCUCAACCUGGGAAUGGCGAUGGAUACUGGCGGGCUAGAGUGCGGUAGAGGAGAGUGGAAUUCCACGUGUAGCGGUGAAAUGCGUAGAGAUGUGGAGGAACACCAGUGGCGAAGGCGACUCUUUGGCCUGUAACUGACGCUGAGGCGCGAAAGCGUGGGGAGCAAACAGG
rnacentral:rRNA from 1 species